CAGAAGAAGGCCCGGCUAACUACGUGCCAGCAGCCGCGGUAAUACGUAGGGCGCAAGCGUUGUCCGGAAUUAUUGGGCGUAAAGAGCUCGUAGGCGGCUUGUCGCGUCUGCUGUGAAAGCCCGGGGCUUAACCCCGGGUGUGCAGUGGGUACGGGCAGGCUAGAGUGCAGUAGGGGAGACUGGAAUUCCUGGUGUAGCGGUGAAAUGCGCAGAUAUCAGGAGGAACACCGAUGGCGAAGGCAGGUCUCUGGGCUGUUACUGACGCUGAGGAGCGAAAGCAUGGGGAGCGAACAGGAUUAGAUACCCUGGUAGUCCAUGCCGUAAACGUUGGGCACUAGGUGUGGGGGACAUUCCACGUUUUCCGCGCCGUAGCUAACGCAUUAAGUGCCCCGCCUGGGGAGUACGGCCGCAAGGCUAAAACUCAAAGGAAUUGACGGGGGCCCGCACAAGCGGCGGAGCAUGCGGAUUAAUUCGAUGCAACGCGAAGAACCUUACCAAGGCUUGACAUACACCGGAUCGCAGCAGAGAUGUUGUUUCCCCUUUGGGGCUGGUGUACAGGUGGUGCAUGGUUGUCGUCAGCUCGUGUCGUGAGAUGUUGGGUUAAGUCCCGCAACGAGCGCAACCCUCGUUCUAUGUUGCCAGCACGUGAUGGUGGGGACUCAUAGGAGACUGCCGGGGUCAACUCGGAGGAAGGUGGGGAUGACGUCAAAUCAUCAUGCCCCUUAUGUCUUGGGCUUCACGCAUGCUACAAUGGCCGGUACAAUGGGUUGCGAUACUGUGAGGUGGAGCUAAUCCCAAAAAGCCGGUCUCAGUUCGGAUUGGGGUCUGCAACUCGACCCCAUGAAGUCGGAGUCGCUAGUAAUCGCAGAUCAGCAACGCUGCGGUGAAUACGUUCCCGGGCCUUGUACAC
rnacentral:rRNA from 2 species